UGGUUCUGUUGCAACCACUGCAGGUGCUGGAGCUGUCGCUGCCACUGUUGAGUGCGAGGUCCGCCGUCACACCGAAGCUUUGAUCCUAGCGCUGCUGGGGCCGCUGCCCCCCCUCACCCCUGCACCCCCGCCCCUCUUCCUACACCUUCCUGAGGCGCGGGCGCUACACGCGCAGCUCGCGCGGAGCAUCAGCGCCUUCACAGCAUCGCUGCGCGCAGCCC